GAUGAACGCUGGCGGCGUGCCUAAUGCAUGCAAGUCGAGCGAAUGGAUUGAGAGCUUGCUCUUAUGAAGUUAGCGGCGGACGGGUGAGUAACACGUGGGUAACCUGCCCAUAAGACUGGGAUAACUCCGGGAAACCGGGGCUAAUACCGGAUAACAUUUUGAACCGCAUGGUUCGAAAUUGAAAGGCGGCUUCGGCUGUCACUUAUGGAUGGACCCGCGUCGCAUUAGCUAGUUGGGGAGGUAACGGCUCACCAAGGCAACGAUGCGUAGCCGACGUGAGAGGGUGAUCGGCCGCACUGGGACUGAGACACGGCCCAGACUCCUACGGGAGGCAGCAGUAGGGAAUCUUCCGCAAUGGACGAAAGUCUGACGGAGCAACGCCGCGUGAGUGAUGAAGGCUUUCGGGUCGUAAAACUCUGUUGUUAGGGAAGAACAAGUGCUAGUUGAAUAAGCUGGCACCUUGACGGUACCUAACCAGAAAGCCACGGCUAACUACGUGCCAGCCGCCGCGGUAA
rnacentral:rRNA from 1 species